GAUGAACGCUGGCGGCGUGCCUAAUACAUGCAAGUCGAGCGAACGGACGAGAAGCUUGCUUCUCUGAUGUUAGCGGCGGACGGGUGAGUAACACGUGGAUAACCUACCUAUAAGACUGGGAUAACUUCGGGAAACCGUAGCUAAUACCGGAUAAUAUUUUGAACCGCAUGGUUCAAAAGUGAAAGACGGUCUUGCUGUCACUUAUAGAUGGAUCCGCGCUGCAUUAGCUAGUUGGUAAGGUAACGGCUUACCAAGGCAACGAUGAAUAGCCGACCUGAGAGGGGGAACGGGCCCACUGGAACUGGAGACCGGUCCAACCCUCUCAGGGGGGCCGGAGGUGGGAAAUUUUGCGAAAGGGGGAAAACCCUGACGGAGAAACCCCGGUGGGGGAAGAAGGUGUUCGGGUUGGAAAACCCUUUUUUUUGGGAAAAAAAAUAGUUGUAAAAAACGGUGCCCAUUUGACGGUAACCAAAGAAAAAGACCCGGCUAAAUUCGUG
rnacentral:rRNA from 1 species